rnacentral:rRNA from 1 species
UAGGGAAUCUUCGGCAAUGGACGAAAGUCUGACCGAGCAACGCCGCGUGAGUGAAGAAGGUUUUCGGAUCGUAAAACUCUGUUGUUAGAGAAGAACAAGGAUGAGAAGAGAAUGUUCAUCCCUUGACGGUAUCUAACCAGAAAGCCACGGCUAACUACGUGCCAGCAGCCGCGGUAAUACGUAGGUGGCAAGCGUUGUCCGGAUUUAUUGGGCGUAAAGCGAGCGCAGGCGGUUCUUUAAGUCUGAUGUGAAAGCCCCCGGCUCAACCGGGGAGGGUCAUUGGAAACUGGGGAACUUGAGUGCAGAAGAGGAGAGUGGAAUUCCAUGUGUAGCGGUGAAAUGCGUAGAUAUAUGGAGGAACACCAGUGGCGAAGGCGGCUCUCUGGUCUGUAACUGACGCUGAGGCUCGAAAGCGUGGGGAGCAAACAGGAUUAGAUACCCUGGUAGUCCACGCCGUAAACGAUGAGUGCUAAGUGUUGGAGGGUU